rnacentral:rRNA from 1 species
GACGGAGGGCGCAAGCGUUGUUCGGAAUUACUGGGCGUAAAGCGCGCGCAGGCGGGAAGGUAAGUCUGGAGUGAAAUUCCGGGGCUCAACUCCGGAGCUGCUUUGGAUACUGUCUUUCUAGGGACCGGUAGAGGCCGGUGGAAUUCCCGGUGUAGCGGUGGAAUGCGUAGAGAUCGGGAAGAACACCCGUGGCGAAGGCGGCCGGCUGGGCCGGAUCCGACGCUGAGGCGCGAAAGCUAGGGGAGCAAACAGG